rnacentral:lncRNA from 1 species
GAACCGAACGGAAUCGAAUGGAAUCGAACUGAACCAAACCCGAACGGUUCCAUAAUUAUAUUUGGACCCAACGGUUCCAUUUACUAAAUAUCCGAAAAUUUUGGUUCGGUUCAUUUCUCUUUAGAACCGAACCGACCCGACCCGUGCCCACCCCUAAUGAGGAGCAUUGCAAUGAUUAUUGCAUAAAAAAAUAAAAAAAGUGUCUUAUUCUGAAACAUCUUUUAGUAGCAUUUAUGAAUCGAGUGAUAAAGCCUAUAAGGGCAUAUAAAAAUAUAGUGCCCUAUACUCAUCUGAUUGAGGAGACAUUAGCUGAAAGUUCGCUACAAUUGUUAUUUAGCUUAAUAGAGAGGAUUAUACACAAAAGAUGUGAAAAAUCAUAAAAGCAAAAUAUAAUAAAGAGAAAAAGUAUGUGCAUGAAAUAGAAGAAGAAUUACAUCUCUUGAUUAAAACUCAAAUACUUGUUUUAGAGAAUUAGACCUUUGAAAAAAUAUUAUUAGCUUAGUCGAUUCUUGAGGGUUAAAACAACAAAAAAUAUGGUGAGUCCUCAUUUGUUGAUGUGUUGAGCUGCAAAUAGCAAAGUCUAACCAAACUAUAGAGGGUGAGAACUAGUAUAUAUUUUUAGUCAUUAGUUUACCACAUGGAAAAGAGUGAUAAGAAUAAAGUUUGGGUUGUGUUUUACAAGCGAAGAAAGAAAAUAUUUCAUCAUAGAGGGUCAAGAAUUUAAUCAAUUUUUUUUACUUUGUGAUGUCUUACAUAAAUCUUUACACACUUGCACGUCAAUUUAGUAUUGGAUAAGUAUAGAUUGAUUUACCACUGUGAUUUUAAAAUUGUUUAUAAUUUAAACUAGAAAAUUUCAAUCUUGAAGGUAACAUGUUAUCCAACC